CAGUGGCGAACGGGUGAGUAACACGUGGGCAAUCUGCCCUGCACUCUGGGACAACACCGGGAAACCGGUGCUAAUACCGGAUAUGACGCAUCUCUGCAUGGGGGUGCGUGGAAAGCUCCGGCGGUGCAGGAUGAGCCCGCGGCCUAUCAGCUUGUUGGUGGGGUGAUGGCCUACCAAGGCGACGACGGGUAGCCGGCCUGAGAGGGCGACCGGCCACACUGGGACUGAGACACGGCCCAGACUCCUACGGGAGGCAGCAGUGGGGAAUAUUGCACAAUGGGCGAAAGCCUGAUGCAGCGACGCCGCGUGAGGGAUGACGGCCUUCGGGUUGUAAACCUCUUUCAGCAGGGAAGAAGCGCAAGUGACGGUACCUGCAGAAGAAGCACCGGCUAACUACGUGCCAGCAGCCCGCGGUAAUACGUAGGGUGCGAGCGUUGUCCGGAAUUAUUGGGCGUAAAGAGCUCGUAGGCGGCCUGUCGCGUCGGAUGUGAAAGCCCGGGGCUUAACCCCGGGUCUGCAUUCGAUACGGGCAGGCUAGAGUUCGGUAGGGGAGAUCGGAAUUCCU
rnacentral:rRNA from 1 species